CUACCUACGGGGGGCAGCAGUGGGGGAUAUUGCACAAUGGGGGAAACCCUGAUGCAGCGACGCCGCGUGGGUGAAGAAGCGCCUCGGCGCGUAAAGCCCUGUCAGCAGGGAAGAAAAUGACGGUACCUGACUAAGAAGCCCCGGCUAACUACGUGCCAGCAGCCGCGGUAAUACGUAGGGGGCAAGCGUUAUCCGGAUUUACUGGGUGUAAAGGGAGCGUAGACGGCAAUGCAAGCCAGAUGUGAAAGCCCGGGGCUCAACCCCGGGACUGCAUUUGGAACUGUGUAGCUGGAGUGUCGGAGAGG
rnacentral:rRNA from 1 species